GAUUAAGUUAUUAAGGGCGCACGGUGGAUGCCUUGGCACUAGAAGCCGAUGAAGGACGUUACUAACGACGAUAUGCUUUGGGGAGCUGUAAGUAAGCUUUGAUCCAGAGAUUUCCGAAUGGGGAAACCCAGCAUGAGUUAUGUCAUGUUAUCGAUAUGUGAAUACAUAGCAUAUCAGAAGGCACACCCGGAGAACUGAAACAUCUUAGUACCCGGAGGAAGAGAAAGAAAAUUCGAUUCCCUUAGUAGCGGCGAGCGAAACGGGAAGAGCCCAAACCAAAAAGCUUGCUUGUUGGGGUUGUAGGACACUCUAUACGGAGUUACAAAGGACGACAUUAGACGAAUCAUCUGGAAAGAUGAAUCAAAGAAGGUAAUAAUCCUGUAGUCGAAAAUGUUGUCUCUCUUGAGUGGAUCCUGAGUACGACGGAGCACGUGAAAUUCCGUCGGAAUCUGGGAGGACCAUCUCCUAAGGCUAAAUACUCUCUAGUGACCGAUAGUGAACCAGUACCGUGAGGGAAAGGUGAAAAGCACCCCGGAAGGGGAGUGAAAUAGAACCUGAAACCGUGUGCUUACAAGUAGUCAGAGCCCGUUAAUGGGUGAUGGCGUGCCUUUUGUAGAAUGAACCGGCGAGUUACGAUUUGAUGCAAGGUUAAGCAGUAAAUGUGGAGCCGUAGCGAAAGCGAGUCUGAAUAGGGCGUUUAGUAUUUGGUCGUAGACCCGAAACCAGGUGAUCUACCCUUGGUCAGGUUGAAGUUCAGGUAACACUGAAUGGAGGACCGAACCGACUUACGUUGAAAAGUGAGCGGAUGAACUGAGGGUAGCGGAGAAAUUCCAAUCGAACCUGGAGAUAGCUGGUUCUCUCCGAAAUAGCUUUAGGGCUAGCCUCAAGUGAUGAUUAUUGGAGGUAGAGCACUGUUUGGACGAGGGGCCCCUCUCGGGUUACCGAAUUCAGACAAACUCCGAAUGCCAAUUAAUUUAACUUGGGAGUCAGAACAUGGGUGAUAAGGUCCGUGUUCGAAAGGGAAACAGCCCAGACCACCAGCUAAGGUCCCAAAAUAUAUGUUAAGUGGAAAAGGAUGUGGCGUUGCCCAGACAACUAGGAUGUUGGCUUAGAAGCAGCCAUCAUUUAAAGAGUGCGUAAUAGCUCACUAGUCGAGUGACACUGCGCCGAAAAUGUACCGGGGCUAAACAUAUUACCGAAGCUGUGGAUUGUCCUUUGGACAAUGGUAGGAGAGCGUUCUAAGGGCGUUGAAGCAUGAUCGUAAGGACAUGUGGAGCGCUUAGAAGUGAGAAUGCCGGUGUGAGUAGCGAAAGACGGGUGAGAAUCCCGUCCACCGAUUGACUAAGGUUUCCAGAGGAAGGCUCGUCCGCUCUGGGUUAGUCGGGUCCUAAGCUGAGGCCGACAGGCGUAGGCGAUGGAUAACAGGUUGAUAUUCCUGUACCACCUAUAAUCGUUUUAAUCGAUGGGGGGACGCAGUAGGAUAGGCGAAGCGUGCGAUUGGAUUGCACGUCUAAGCAGUAAGGCUGAGUAUUAGGCAAAUCCGGUACUCGUUAAGGCUGAGCUGUGAUGGGGAGAAGACAUUGAGUCUUCGAGUCGUUGAUUUCACACUGCCGAGAAAAGCCUCUAGAUAGAAAAUAGGUGCCCGUACCGCAAACCGACACAGGUAGUCAAGAUGAGAAUUCUAAGGUGAGCGAGCGAACUCUCGUUAAGGAACUCGGCAAAAUGACCCCGUAACUUCGGGAGAAGGGGUGCUCUUUAGGGUUAACGCCCAGAAGAGCCGCAGUGAAUAGGCCCAAGCGACUGUUUAUCAAAAACACAGGUCUCUGCUAAACCGUAAGGUGAUGUAUAGGGGCUGACGCCUGCCCGGUGCUGGAAGGUUAAGAGGAGUGGUUAGCUUCUGCGAAGCUACGAAUCGAAGCCCCAGUAAACGGCGGCCGUAACUAUAACGGUCCUAAGGUAGCGAAAUUCCUUGUCGGGUAAGUUCCGACCCGCACGAAAGGCGUAACGAUUUGGGCACUGUCUCAACGAGAGACUCGGUGAAAUCAUAGUACCUGUGAAGAUGCAGGUUACCCGCGACAGGACGGAAAGACCCCGUGGAGCUUUACUGUAGCCUGAUAUUGAAAUUCGGCACAGCUUGUACAGGAUAGGUAGGAGCCUUUGAAACGUGAGCGCUAGCUUACGUGGAGGCGCUGGUGGGAUACUACCCUAGCUGUGUUGGCUUUCUAACCCGCACCACUUAUCGUGGUGGGAGACAGUGUCAGGCGGGCAGUUUGACUGGGGCGGUCGCCUCCUAAAAGGUAACGGAGGCGCUCAAAGGUUCCCUCAGAAUGGUUGGAAAUCAUUCAUAGAGUGUAAAGGCAUAAGGGAGCUUGACUGCGAGACCUACAAGUCGAGCAGGGUCGAAAGACGGACUUAGUGAUCCGGUGGUUCCGCAUGGAAGGGCCAUCGCUCAACGGAUAAAAGCUACCCCGGGGAUAACAGGCUUAUCUCCCCCAAGAGUUCACAUCGACGGGGAGGUUUGGCACCUCGAUGUCGGCUCAUCGCAUCCUGGGGCUGUAGUCGGUCCCAAGGGUUGGGCUGUUCGCCCAUUAAAGCGGUACGCGAGCUGGGUUCAGAACGUCGUGAGACAGUUCGGUCCCUAUCCGUCGUGGGCGUAGGAAAUUUGAGAGGAGCUGUCCUUAGUACGAGAGGACCGGGAUGGACAUACCUCUGGUGUACCAGUUGUCGUGCCAACGGCAUAGCUGGGUAGCUAUGUGUGGACGGGAUAAGUGCUGAAAGCAUCUAAGCAUGAAGCCCCCCUCAAGAUGAGAUUUCCCAACUUCGGUUAUAAGAUC
rnacentral:rRNA from 2 species